GACGAACGCUGGCGGCGUGCUUAACACAUGCAAGUCGAACGGAAAGGCCCCUUUGGGGGUACUCGAGUGGCGAACGGGUGAGUAACACGUGAGUAACCUGCCCUUGACUUCGGGAUAACUUCAGGAAACUGGGGCUAAUACCGGAUAGGAAUCCUUGCUGCAUGGGGGGGGUUGGAAAGCUUCGGCGGUUUUGGAUGGACUCGCGGCUUAUCAGCUUGUUGGUGGGGUAGUGGCUUACCAAGGCUUUGACGGGUAGCCGGCCUGAGAGGGCGACCGGCCACAUUGAGACUGAGAGACGGCCCAGACGCCUACGGGAGGCAGCAGUGGGGAAUAUUGCACAAUGGGCGGAGGCCUGAUGCAGCAACGCCGCGUGCGGGAUGACGGCCUUCGGGUUGUAAACCGCUUUCAGCAGGGGCGAAGCUUGUGGUGACGGUACCUGCAGAAGAAGCACCGGCUAACUACGUG
rnacentral:rRNA from 1 species